rnacentral:rRNA from 1 species
AUCUACAGGCUUAACACAUGCAAGUCGAGGGGCAUCAGGAAGAAAGCUUGCUUUCUUUGCUGGCGACCGGCGCACGGGUGAGUAACACGUAUCCAACCUGCCCUUUACUCGGGGAUAGCCUUUCGAAAGAAAGAUUAAUACCCGAUGGCAUAAUGAUUCCGCAUGGUUUCAUUAUUAAAGGAUUCCGGUAAAGGAUGGGGAUGCGUUCCAUUAGGUUGUUGGUGAGGUAACGGCUCACCAAGCCUUCGAUGGAUAGGGGUUCUGAGAGGAAGGUCCCCCACAUUGGAACUGAGACACGGUCCAAACUCCUACGGGAGGCAGCAGUGAGGAAUAUUGGUCAAUGGGCGCUAGCCUGAACCAGCCAAGUAGCGUGAAGGAUGAAGGCUCUAUGGGUCGUAAACUUCUUUUAUAUAAGAAUAAAGUGCAGUAUGUAUACUGUUUUGUAUGUAUUAUAUGAAUAAGGAUCGGCUAACUCCGUGCCAGCAGCCGCGGUAAUACGGAGGAUCCGAGCGUUAUCCGGAUUUAUUGGGUUUAAAGGGAGCGUAGGUGGACUGGUAAGUCAGUUGUGAAAGUUUGCGGCUCAACCGUAAAAUUGCAGUUGAUACUGUCAGUCUUGAGUACAGUAGAGGUGGGCGGAAUUCGUGGUGUAGCGGUGAAGUGCUUAGAUAUCACGAAGAACUCCGAUUGCGAAGGCAGCUCACUGGACUGCAACUGACACUGAUGCUCGAAAGUGUGGGUAUCAAACAGGAUUAGAUACCCUGGUAGUCCACACAGUAAACGAUGAAUACUCGCUGUUUGCGAUAUACAGUAAGCGGCCAAGCGAAAGCAUUAAGUAUUCCACCUGGGGAGUACGCCGGCAACGGUGAAACUCAAAGGAAUUGACGGGGGCCCGCACAAGCGGAGGAACAUGUGGUUUAAUUCGAUGAUACGCGAGGAACCUUACCCGGGCUUAAAUUGCAGUGGAAUGAUGUGGAAACAUGUCAGUGAGCAAUCACCGCUGUGAAGGUGCUGCAUGGUUGUCGUCAGCUCGUGCCGUGAGGUGUCGGCUUAAGUGCCAUAACGAGCGCAACCCUUAUCUUUAGUUACUAACAGGUUAUGCUGAGGACUCUAGAGAGACUGCCGUCGUAAGAUGUGAGGAAGGUGGGGAUGACGUCAAAUCAGCACGGCCCUUACGUCCGGGGCUACACACGUGUUACAAUGGGGGGUACAGAAGGCAGCUAGCGGGUGACCGUAUGCUAAUCCCAAAAGCCUCUCUCAGUUCGGAUCGAAGUCUGCAACCCGACUUCGUGAAGCUGGAUUCGCUAGUAAUCGCGCAUCAGCCACGGCGCGGUGAAUACGUUCCCGGGCCUUGUACACACCGCCCGUCAAGCCAUGGGAGCCGGGGGUACCUGAAGUACGUAACCGCAAGGAUCGUCCUAGGGUAAAACUGGUGACUGGGGCU